rnacentral:rRNA from 1 species
UACGUAGGGACCGAGCGUUGUCCGGAAUCAUUGGGCGUAAAGAGCGUGUAGGCGGCUUGCUAAGUCCUGCGUGAAAUCUCGGGGCUCAACCCCGAGCGGUCGUGGGAAACUGGCAGGCUAGAGUGCGGGAGAGGAGAGUGGAAUUCCUGGUGUAGCGGUGAAAUGCGCAGAUAUCAGGAAGAACACCCGUGGCGAAGGCGACUUCCUGGCCUGUUCUUGACGCUGAGGCGCGAAAGCUAGGGUAGCAAACGGG